rnacentral:rRNA from 1 species
GAUGAACGCUGGCGGCGUGCUUAACACAUGCAAGUCGAACGGAAAGGCUCCUGCUUGCAGGGGUACUCGAGUGGCGAACGGGUGAGUAACACGUGGGUGAUCUGCCCUGCACUUCGGGAUAAGCCUGGGAAACUGGGUCUAAUACCGGAUAGGACGAUGGUUUGGAUGCCAUUGUGGAAAGUUUUUUCGGUGUGGGAUGAGCUCGCGGCCUAUCAGCUUGUUGGUGGGGUAAUGGCAUACCAAGGCGUCGACGGGUAGCCGGCCUGAGAGGGUGUACGGCCACAUUGGGACUGAGAUACGGCCCAGACUCCUACGGUAGGCAGCAGUGGGGAAUAUUGCACAAUGGGCGCAAGCCUGAUGCAGCGACGCCGCGUGGGGGAUGACGGCCUUCGGGUUGUAAACUCCUUUCGCUAGGGACGAAGCGCAAGUGACGGUACCUGGAGAAGAAGCACCGGCUAACUACGUG